CCAAGCAUGUCAAUCACACAGCCAUGAUUGUCAAGAUUAUGGCUCAAAUAGAAAAACAGCGAAUUUAAUCUUCUUGAAUUCCGUGCUGUUAAUCUCGCCCCCACGUUUUCUCAACUCUUAUUUUUCGUAAAGUGAUAGUUGACGAGAGACGAAAGUGUAAACGCUCAUCACUGCGCGUUUCGUUAGCGCCGAACCGGAUCAUGUUUGGAAUCACACGCUAAAGCAGCUGUUUGUCGCCGUUAAAACAAAAUAAAACGGCUCUUUCCUCGAGCGAUUCUUUUUUUUUUUUUUUCUUUUUUUUUUUUUUGCAGGAGAGUACAGCCGAUGUGAUUUCCAACCAUUGAGGUCGGUCGGCGUUCAAGUGAACAAAGCGUCCCAAAAUGAUGUCAGGAAAGCAUUUCAAGGCGCACGAAGUGAGCUGCUGCAUUAAGUAUUUCAUUUUUGGAUUCAACAUCAUAUUCUGGUUCCUUGGAGUGGCAUUCCUUGGCAUAGGAUUGUGGGCAUGGAGCGAAAAGGGUGUCCUAUCCAACAUUUCAUCUAUCACGGACCUCGGGGGCUUUGAUCCAGUAUGGCUCUUCCUGGUGGUUGGUGGGGUGAUGUUUAUUCUGGGAUUCGCGGGUUGCAUUGGAGCACUGCGAGAAAACUCAUUCCUGCUCAAAUUUUUCUCGGUGUUCCUGGGUAUCAUCUUCUUCCUGGAGUUGACAGCAGGAGUCCUGGCCUUUGUCUUCAAAGACUGGAUCAAGGACCAGCUGAACUUUUUUAUCAACAACAACAUUCGGGCCUAUAGGGAUGACAUUGAUCUGCAGAACCUAAUAGAUUUCACCCAAGAAUAUUGGGAGUGCUGUGGUGCUUUUGGAGCAGACGACUGGAAUUUGAACAUCUAUUUCAACUGCACCGAUUCCAACCCGAGUCGUGAGAAAUGUGGUGUGCCCUUUUCCUGCUGCACCAAAGAUCCAGCUGAGGAUGUCAUCAACACUCAGUGUGGUUACGACAUCCGAGCAAAAACUGACUCAGAACAGAGGACAUACAUCUACAUUAAAGGGUGCGUCCCACAAUUUGAGAAGUGGCUUCAAGACAACCUGACAGUGGUGGCAGGCAUAUUUAUUGGGAUUGCAUUAUUACAGUUAUCUCGUGUGUAUUUUGAUUUAUUUCUUAGAUUUUUGGCAUAUGUCUAGCACAGAAUCUGGUGAGCGACAUCGAAGCAGUAAGAGAAAGUUGUUUGUUCACCUAAGGCUGGCAUAUAAUCUCCAGAGGAACGAACGAUGUAUCAGGGCUCUUCAGACUGCACACAAGCAAUGAAGGGAGACACUUUAAUCAACUUUGAUGUCCAAAAUGAAGAGACUCAUUUCUGUGUAAAUAGUACAUGUAUAGUUUAUUUGUGGGCCUAUUUUUAAAUGACGCACAAGCUCUGAAAUGUAUUGUGAGUACAUUGCGUCAAGCAGUUUAAUGCAGUGGCGUCUAUUAUGUUGGUGAAGUAGCUUUCAAACAGCAUUGUUCUGUGAGGGACGGAAUAAACGAGGCUGCCACAUUUCACUCACACAAAUAAUUUAUGUUGAGAGUGGACAGAACAUUACAUUUGUGCAGUUUUUAAUGCUUCUUUUACAAAGUUAGGUUUAUUCUGAGCAAGCACUGCAUGCCUUUUGUCUACUGGUGGGACAUUGGCUUACCUAUCAAGAGUACAUUUAAGUAUUUGAAAUAUUUGUCAAAUUUCUGCCUAGUUCAUGGUACGUUUGGCUGGUUCGCACUUUGUGAAAAGAUGGAUGGGGAUGUUGCCACGAAUUUACUUGAGAUAUAUUUGUGGCAUGCCCUUAUCAUACUGUGGCAUUCAGUGCCUCAAGUAGUUAUAGGGUGGAAAGACAUAGGUAUGGAACGAAUCACUGAGAAGAAGCAUAAAAAUGUGUCAUCAAAGUAAAUUAUAAGCACUUUCAUCCUCAUGGAGGAAUAAUGACGCGUAUUGGGUGGAUGAGCUACUGUUUCGAGUCUUUUUUUUUUUUUAGUUCAGCCAGGGGCCCGCUAGAGGGGGCACCUUUUUCAACAGCAGUAAACUGGUGCUCUUUUUUUCAACCUAUGACGCCAUCUACACGAAACUGCUUUAUUUGCCAUUGCUAUUUAUUAAAUUUUUGCAAAGCCUCUAAGUGAUAACAAAAUGACUCAUCGGUUUUACUGUAUUAGCUGUAAAUUUUCACAGGAAAUUGGGAUCUUUGUAAAACUUGUGAUGUAUAAUGCAUAUUUGCACUUAAGAAAAUAAUUUAGUUUACACACAAAUAGCAUUUAAAAGUAAGAUGCGCGCACACCAUCACCAGCAUUAUUUAAAUACUGCAGGAAGCUUUCCAAGAUUUUGCAGCCACAUUCUCUUUUGUGUUUUUUUUUUCAUCACCAAAAACUUUCAAUGAUUGUUAAUGUUGAUUGAUCACAUUCUUUCUUACCACUCAGUGCCAAAUAUGUAAGUUGUACAUAUUCCUGGUUACACCUUUUUCAGUUAAAAUAUCGUUUGCUAAAUUUUGUUUUUUCCUCUUGUAAAUUCCUGGAUUGUGUCAAGUUGUAAAUAUAUCUGAAUAAAUGUGGGUCUUUGUAUAAAUUCUGGACACUGUUACCCUCUACAUAUUGCGUACUUUUUUCUUUAUUAUUACUUGUCAGUGGUAUCAGAGUGGGAUCAGAGUGGUUACAUUAAAUGCU